AACGAACGCUGGCGGCAGGCUUAACACAUGCAAGUCGAGCGCCCCGCAAGGGGAGCGGCAGACGGGUGAGUAACGCGUGGGAACGUACCCUUUGCUACGGAAUAGCCCCGGGAAACUGGGAGUAAUACCGUAUGUGCCCUUCGGGGGAAAGAUUUAUCGGCAAAGGAUCGGCCCGCGUUGGAUUAGGUAGUUGGUGGGGCGAUGGCCUACCAAGCCGACGAUCCAUAGCUGGUUUGAGAGGAUGAUCAGCCACACUGGGACUGAGACACGGCCCAGACUCCUACGGGAGGCAGCAGUGGGGAAUCUUAGACAAUGGGGGAAACCCUGAUCUAGCCAUGCCGCGUGAGCGAUGAAGGCCUUAGGGUUGUAAAGCUCUUUCAGUGGGGAAGAUAAUGACGGUACCCACAGAAGAAGCCCCGGCUAACUCUGUGCCAGCCGCCGCGGUAAGAC
rnacentral:rRNA from 1 species